CCUACGGGGGGCAGCAGUGGGGAAUAUUGCGCAAUGGGCGAAAGCCUGACGCAGCGACGCCGCGUGAGGGAUGAAGGUCUUCGGAUCGUAAACCUCUGUCAGCAGGGAAGAACGGUCACUUUGCUAAUCAGCAGUGAAUUGACGGUACCUGCAAAGGAAGCACCGGCUAACGCCGUGCCAGCAGCCGCGGUAAUACGGAGGGUGCGAGCGUUAAUCGGAAUUACUGGGCGUAAAGCGCUCGUAGGCGGUAUGUCAAGUCAAGGGUGAAAUCCCCGCGCUCAACGUGGGAACUGCCUUUGAAACUGGCAAACUGGAGUGUGUGAGAGGAUAGUGGAAUUCCAGGUGUAGGGGUGAAAUGCGUAGAUAUCUGGAGGAACAUCAGUGGCGAAGGCGACUAUCUGGCACAUAACUGACGCUGAGGAGCGAAAGCGUGGGUAGCAAACAGGAUUAGAUACCCGGGUAGUC
rnacentral:rRNA from 1 species